UACAUCCCAUAUUGGGCCAAGUAAUCUGAAAAAAGUUUUAAAAUGUUACUUCUACAUGCUAAAUCAGCUUUCUUGUCCCAGUGAGGGACAGACAAGCAUUUGGACAGGCUGCGGCAUACUGGUGUCAGGUAGAACAAACCCAACAGCACCCUGGGUAGAGAGUGGUGAGGCCAGGCUCUGGUACAUCCGGUUACGGAGCACUACCAGAUGCUGAAAUUUAUGCUGAGGAAGUUCUUGGUGUUCUCUAAUGGCGAUCCAGG